UCAGGUUAGAAAGCCCAGAGGAAAGAGUUUCUUGCCUUCUCCCUCCAGCGCGGGAGGCAAAAGAAACGCCCGGACUCCAUGCUGAGCCCGCUUCAUUGUUUUGGUGGGAAUCGGAUAAGGAGGUGGCAGCAACCGCGGUCCCCAGGGGAAGAAAGGCAGGGGAAGAAGAGGAAAAGCAACACACACACCCUGAGCACCUUCGUGAUGCACAGCCAGCUCCCAGAAAGCCACAUGCAGGGCAAGAGACGGACAGGCGACAGACGGAAGGCUCCUUACUCACCCAGAAGACAAAAUUAAAGACAAAAAGCAGCCUUGGCAGAUAAACGUCUGUGGAACAGAUUUCUCCUCAAGAUUACAACCAGAGUUCAUGCAAGUCUGUUGGACAAGGGUGAAACAAAGAGCCUGCUUAUGGAAACAAAAGCUAUGAGGAGUUAAACACAGGUUAUCCUCACAACAACCCUGUCAAGUAGGUUAAAAGAAAUACAAAAGAUUCUGAAGACAAGAAUUGUGAAAAAUCUUGUUGAGACUCACGGAAGAUGAUGUUCCAAAUCAAUGCAAUACCUUAUGACUAUUGUAGCAAGGGCUCUAUGUGCACAAAAAUGAGAGACAAUAAAAUACAAAUGAAGGAGGGAUGGAUUUUGAAUGUCGCAGAAUAUUCAGAAAUGGGCAAAGCUGACGUCUUUAUUACAGUACAAUAAUAUGGACAACUUUUCAGAAAACUGGAAACCUUUUAUGGAAUACCUUUUGAAAAGCUAUUGAAACAGUGAAACAAUAGCAGGGGUUGAAAUCUAAAAGAAAACAGCAGAAUGUAUUAGAAUAUUAGUAAAACAAAAAACUGAACUUAAAAAAAAUUACAUGCAUGACUCUAGAGUUAACUUUCAAACAAAGAUGAGAUAGCUGGAAGUCAUUGUGUAAAAGGUUGUAUUUUGUUAUGUUUUAACUUGUUUUUUGUUGCUGUUGUUGGUGUCUAUGUGUGUGUUUGUUUUUUUUCAAAAAAUAAAACUUAUUAUUCAAGCAAGUUAGAGUGAAAGUAUCUGACUGGUCCAUGGUCACCCAGCAAUCUUCCAAGGCAGAGCAGAGAUUCAAACUUGGAUUUCCGAGAUCCCAGUCCAACCCUCUAACUAUGACAGUAAAAAAACCUGAAGACUAAAAAAUACAUUUUACAGUUAGUAUUCAUACAAAUGGUUUAAUAUAUCUUUGAAUCUUUUCUAUGAGAUCUGAAGGAGAUUCUAAGCAACUGACUUUUUAAAAAUUGAACCUUUCAGGAGAACUAAAUAUGAAACUCCAUGUAAUAUCUUCAGGACGGAGAAGUUCAGAACCUCUGACUGCAAAAAGCACCCCUAAAUUAACCUCCCCAAGCUGACUUCUCCAAGGCAACUUUCCAUUCUUUGGUCUAUGUUUAAGUUCUGAUAACGCUGUGUUGAAGGGGAAGAAUGUCUCAUCAUUGUAAUCAACUCCAGCUUGCUGAACAACAUCAUAAUGAAAAAGGUAUUAGCUAUCAGUCAUCCCCUUCCAUAAAUAUCUGGCAUGUGCUCCCUUUACUAUCAAGAUUUACUUUGAUCCUCUGUGUUACAUGAAAAACACCCGCCAGUAGUUAUUCCAGGAGAAUCUGGUUCUACAACAUUUAACUUUCACACAAAACAUCCAACUAGCACAGCCCAUCUUAAUGCUACCACCUUGUACUGAUUGCAUGAGGCCACCCUCUGUUACUGUCCUGUUAUUUACCCACCUCCACAAGCUUCUUCUCAAUGGGCAUUAUCAGUGCUUAGCCUCAAAUGAAUUCACGUAGGUGCACAAAGAUUUACCGACCAAUUGUCAAUGUUCCACCUUAGCUCAGAAUGGCCAGAUUGCCUGUCACCUUCCCUGGCCUGUCCUUGCCAAAGGGGUUAAACAGGCAUGAUGGGGCAGGACUUUGUUGAGUAGAUGGCACUCAGCAAUUAACUGAUUUUCCUAAUCUCCCUCCUAAUAAACUUGUCUGCAGUUAGCAGCACAGCUUGGUAGACAGUGGCUCUCAAUAUUCCUUCUCAGUGGCUCUCAAUAUCUUCUCAAUAUUCUUUUCCUGAAGCUGAGGAAGCAUCUUACAUGAGGAUUAUUGAUUAAAUAUGAGCCUGUUCAGAAAGGACAGCCAGGAGAGGUACGGUGGGAAAAAAGAGGGGAUCCUUGAAGUAAUAUACUUCCAGUCAUUCAGUCAAUCUUUUUUCCUUCCUUCCAACUUGGUAAAGAAAAGCCUCUCAGAACUCAACUUGACACAAAAAGUGCAAGAUCGCAUUUCCCAAAUUCCUCCUACAUUUCUGAUGUAAUCACCCUUAGCAACUGCAAUCUGUUUAAUCCCCUUUCACUCCACUAUGCAAAAAUGUCUCUCACUUCUACACAUGAAGCCUGCUGAGUAACCUUGGGCCAGUCACAGUUCUCUUAGAACUCUCUCAGUCCCACCUAUCUCACAAGGUAUCUGUUGUGGGGAAAGGAAUGCUAGGCUUUUGUAAGCUGUUUUAAAACUUCUUACAGUAGGGAAAGGCAGGAUAUAAAAACUUCUUCUUGAAGGGGCCCUAAUUCUUGAUGGUUGCAAGAGGGAAUGGUUAGGAGGAAUGCUGCCAUGGAGACAGGCUCCUAGUUAAGGAACACAGUGUCUGUGACUGGAGCAAUUUUCCACUGCAUUUACAGAAAUCCAAGAGAACGUUCUUUAUGGUGGUUCUGUUCUAGAAAGUGGUUCUAAAACUCUCAAGUCUUUCUGGAAGCCAGGCCUUCUUCCUUGCCAGUAUGACUGCUAAUCCUGAUAUGAUUGUACAUGGACAUGCAGUGGUUCCUCAGUGGUAAGGGAUCAGUGUGCUUUGUAUAUUCAGAUACCCUCUUUUGGUUUAGUCUUGCACAUAUUCCAGAGCUGAGUCCUAGUUCUGACAAUUGUUUCCAGAGCUGAGCACUGGCUGAGUUCCACAAAGCUGUAUGUCUGUACACAGAAGAGAUUUUUUUUCUGGCUGGACAGUUCUGGGCACAUUUGAAAGCAUUCCUUGAGGACGGGAACACAGGGUAAGCAGAAGUUUUAUAUUGCUACCAUAUGGAAACUAAAGCCUUUUAUGUUUAAAGUUCUAGUUCUGCUGCUGUCAAACUCAUCCUAAGUAAAUAAAUGUGUUAACCUUCUUAGAUAAAUCCAGCAUGUUAAAUGUUAAUGGAUUAAAUGGAGCGCAGAUUUUAAUACAUCUCUGACUUUAUAACCCAGCGAAACUAACUGUUGUUUGCACUGUGAGUUAUUUUUAAACAUUUCAGGCCUGGGCCCACAAACUGAUCUUGGCUGCAUGUAACAUUUUUUCUUGCUGUUUAGGGAACUGAGAACAAGAAAACCAGAGGCUGAAAAUGAAUUGAGCUUCACAAGAUACACUUGUGAAUAUACCUUUAUCUGGGUAGCCCUCCUGCACUUGGCUGCAGGUGCUGUGAUAGUGGAUAAGGAGAUUUCAGGAAACAUUACAUGAAAGAAGUGACUGCAUCCCUUUUCAUUAGUGCAUAACCAUGAAACAAUUAAAAGGACACAUGAUCUUGGGGUAGUGAUGUGGCAGUCCAGUAACAUAGAGUUUAUAGUUUAAUUAUGAAAUAUGAGGUAAUGCAGGAAUGCAAACAUUGAACCAUAUGAGGAAGGAAGCUGAAUACUCUAUGGGUUCUUUUGAAAAGAUAUAAGAACCAUCUUUUCCCCCAUUGGGAUGAAAAAGUUCUGAGACUUCAAGAUGUAAAUUUUUUUUACAUUUUAUUUGUAUAGAUAUAAACAAAAGAAAAAAGUUAAAAAUAAUAUUAAAGUAAUGAUUACAAUUAUACCAAAAGAUAAAGAAAAAAGAAUAUACAUAUAACAGCAAAUAAUAGUAUAAUGAUGACCAUUAAAUAGUGAUUACCAUAAUCAUCUUAAUAUAAAUCAUAAGAUACCCUACUUGAGUAUUUGAUAAAUCCAAUAAAGAUGUUAAACAAUAUUAUAAGAUGAAUAAUAAUAAAAAGAAUAAGUAAAAAGGCUUGCAGGGUUGAUUACUAUUGUACAUUUGUAAAAAUACUUCCCAAGUAUUGAAGUGAUGUCCUCCAGGCAGGAUCGCAUGGUAUCACUCUCCACAGCGGUCCACUGGAAAUGAGAAGCUGGGAGCAGUACCUAUAUCUUUUCCAACUUGAGCUACUGAGCCCUCUCGAGAGGAAACAUUCAAGUUGUGUAUCCCUUAUUGAUGAAAUAAAGAUAUCAAGAGAUUGAAUGAAGAAUCAAUAUACUGCUGCCAACAAGCCUGACAAAAACCAGGAGAUCUUCCUAAGAGGUAUGGAAUGACGAGCAAAUGUAGAAUGCAGAAAAAAAUAUUUUUAAAAGUUUAAAUAAGGCUAUAGUGAAAGAUAUUCCCAGAGGACAAGGCAUCAGAGUGAAACAGCUGUUUUAAGGCAAAAAAAUUUCCAGAACUUAUUUCCCUCUCAGUUGGCGGCCUACCAAAACAAAACCAGAAAAUAAACGAUCUUUGAAAUAUGUCAGCAACCAGAAAAAGGGAGGAAUUUGAUCCCAGAAUUAGACUACUGAAAACUUUGGGAAAUUGUGGAAACUGCAACAUCUAGUGGGCAAUGGCAACUACCAGGAAGUGCUCCAUGUCCCAUGAAUCUUAAGAGUAUAUCUGCCAGGUUGCUGAGUCUCAAGGCAAAAUUAGACUCUCUGAAAGACUUUGUUAAUAUCAACAUUCUAAGAAUGAUCUCUGAGCUCAUGAAGAAUCUUAAAGAAAUGAAAGCUAUUUUUUUUAAAAAAUGCACAAAUAGAAGAGAAAGACCAAAGAGGAAGUAAAAAUGUUAAAACAAGAUGUGGGCUCUGUACAGUUGGAGGAUAAAAUUCAUGAUCAAACCAUUCUUCGACUGGAAUAUCAAAUUUAAGAAAAGGCCUUGAGACAAAGGAAGGUACCAGAUUUAUUUAUAGAAGGUACCAGAGGAUCAAAAUCCAGCAAAAGAGGAAUCGAACAAGAAAAUUGUCUCAGUCCUGGUCAAUCAAAAAAUAAGAAAUACUGUCAAAGAUUGAAAAAAAUAUAUAGAGUCACAUCAAAAAAUUCAAAAAUGAAAGGACUGUGUAGAGAAAUUGUGAUCUACUUUUACUGUAAAGAAAUGGCAAAUAAGGUCAUGGAAAUACACAGGAAUUCAACAAUGUAGAGGACAAGGACAUCAUCGUGAUGAAGGAGAUUUCUUUGAGAGUCUGACAGAAAAUUAUGUACUUUGGUGGACGUUUUAAGAAGAAACCAAAUAAGAUUUUCAUGCCUUAGAUGGGAAGGAGUUUUCUUCACUUACAAGAGACAACAGCAAAGAAUCACUUCAAUAACAAGUGCCAAAGAGAUCCUCAAGUAGAUUUUAAAAAACCUUAUAUACAUUUGUUUCGCUAGAAUAUUUCAAGAUUUAGCAAGAGGGGAAUAGAGGAGUUUGUUGGAGAUUAAUGGUAAAUAAAGUGAUUAUAAAUUCAAA